rnacentral:rRNA from 1 species
AUCUGGUUGAUCCUGCCAGUAGUCAUAUGCUUGUCUCAAAGAUUAAGCCAUGCAUGUCUAAGUAUAAAUGGUAUACAAUGAAACUGCGAAUGGCUCAUUAAAACAGUUAUAGUUUAUUUGGUAAUCGACUUUACAUGGAUAACCGUGGUAAUUCUAGAGCUAAUACAUGCUGUUGUGCCCGACUCACGAAGGGCCGUAUUUAUUAGAUAUCAGCCAAUAAGCAUCCGCUAUUGUGGUGACUCAUAGUAACUUAAUCGGAUCGCAUGGGCUUGUCCCGCGACAGACCAUUCAAGUUUCUGCCCCAUCAUGCUUUCGAUGGUAGUGUAUUGGACUACCAUGGCUUUCACGGGUAACGGAGGAUUAGGGUUCGAUUCCGGAGAGGGAGCCUGAGAAACGGCUACCACUUCCACGGAAGGCAGCAGGCGCGUAAAUUACCCAAUCCUGAUUCAGGGAGGUAGUGACAAGAAAUAAUGGGUCGGGGCAGUGCCCCGGGACUGCAAUGAGACGAAUCUAGACCCCUUAUCGAGGACCAAUUGGAGGGCAAGUCUGGUGCCACCAGCCCGCGGUAAUUCAGCUCCAAUAGCGUAUAUUAAAGUUGUGCAGUUAAAAGCUC